AUUGAACGCUGGCGGCGUGCCUAACACAUGCAAGUCGAGCGAAUUUGAGGGGCUUGCCCCUCAAGUUAGCGGCGCACGGGUGAGUAACACGUGGAUGAUCUGCCCAUCAGUUCGGGAUAACAGUUGGAAACGACUGCUAAUACCGGAUACGAUCUUUUUUCGCCUUAAGGUGAAAGGGGGCCUCUGUAUAUGCUUCCGCUGAUGGAUGAGUCCGCGCCUCAUUAGGUAGUUGGUAGGGUAACGGCCUACCAAGCCGACGAUGAGUAGCCGGCCUGAGAGGGUAAUCGGCCACACUGGGACUGGAACACGGCCCAGACUCCUACGGGAGGCAGCAGUGGGGAAUAUUGCGCAAUGGACGAAAGUCUGACGCAGCGACGCCGCGUGAGGGAUGAAGGCCUUCGGGUCGUAAACCUCUGUCAGGAGGGAAGAACAAGCAUGGUGCUAAUCAGCCAUGCCCUGACGGUACCUCCAAAGGAAGCACCGGCUAACUCCGUGCCAGCAGCCGCGGUAAGAC
rnacentral:rRNA from 1 species